ACAUCGAAAGCUUGCUUUUGAUGGGCGUCGACCGGCGCACGGGUGAGUAACGCGUAUCCAACCUGCCCACCACUUGGGGAUAACCUUGCGAAAGUAAGACUAAUACCCAAUGAUAUCUCUAGAAGACAUCUGAAAGAGAUUAAAGAUUUAUCGGUGAUGGAUGGGGAUGCGUCUGAUUAGCUUGUUGGCGGGGUAACGGCCCACCAAGGCGACGAUCAGUAGGGGUUCUGAGAGGAAGGUCCCCCACAUUGGAACUGAGACACGGUCCAAACUCCUACGGGAGGCAGCAGUGAGGAAUAUUGGUCAAUGGACGAGAGUCUGAACCAGCCAAGUAGCGUGCAGGAUGACGGCCCUAUGGGUUGUAAACUGCUUUUAUAAGGGAAUAAAGUGAGUCUCGUGAGACUUUUUGCAUGUACCUUAUGAAUAAGGACCGGCUAAUUCCGUGCCAGCAGCCGCGGUAAUACGGAAGGUCCGGGCGUUAUCCGGAUUUAUUGGGUUUAAAGGGAGCGUAGGCCGGAGAUUAAGCGUGUUGUGAAAUGUAGAUGCUCAACAUCUGCACUGCAGCGCGAACUGGUUUCCUUGAGUACGCACAAAGUGGGCGGAAUUCGUGGUGUAGCGGUGAAAUGCUUAGAUAUCACGAAGAACUCCGAUUGCGAAGGCAGCUCACUGGAGCGCAACUGACGCUGAAGCUCGAAAGUGCGGGUAUCGAACAGGAUUAGAUACCCUGGUAGUCCGCACGGUAAACGAUGGAUGCCCGCUGUUGGUCU
rnacentral:rRNA from 1 species